GACGUAGGAGGCGAGCGUUGUCCGGAUUCAUUGGGCGUAAAGAGCGCGCAGGCGGCUUGGUAAGUCGGAUGUGAAAACCCGAGGCUCAACCUCGGGCGUGCAUCCGAAACUGCUCGGCUAGAGGUAGGUAGGGGAGAUCGGAAUUCCUGGUGUAGCGGUGAAAUGCGCAGAUAUCAGGAGGAACACCGGUGGCGAAGGCGGAUCUCUGGGCAGUUCCUGACGCUGAGGCACGAAGGCCAGGGGAGCAAACGGG
rnacentral:rRNA from 1 species